AUACAUAUAUAUAUAUAUAUGUAUAUGUCACCUUUAGUUUCAGUUACACCUAAUGAAAAUAAAGAAGAUGAAGAAAGGAAUAAAAAAUUCAACUAAAUCUGCUAGAAAAAGGAAAAAAGGAUGGAUAUUUUGAACAAAAAAAUUUGGGAGACGUUGGUUAAGAGUAAGGAGGAUGACGAUUGACGGAAUCAUAUAUAUUUAUAUAUAUAUAUAUGAUUCUAAAGUCCAUGCUUUUAAUAAUUAGGAAAUAAUAAGAUAUAAAAAGCCGAUGAUAUUGAAAGCAGUGAUAGUGAUAUGAGUCAAAAAGAAUAGAAAAAAUCAUGAAUGAAGAAGCUAAAGGAAACGUACAUAGAAUUUUAUUUGUAUUUAAAAGAAAAUGAUCAAAUUCUAUUAAAUAUCUAUUUAUCUGAUUUAUCCGAUAGUAAUAAUGAAUCUGAUGGUGUAUUACAUCAUAAAUCUAAUGAUAAGUUGGAGAUAUAAAAAUAUUAUAUAUGUUUAAAAUACUAAUAGAAAAAAAGAAUAUGUUCUAAUAAUAUACAUUUAUAAUUUAUUCGUUAUAAAAUCAUAGAUUGCUAGCGAUGAAAGUGAUUUUGACUCUGAAGAUACUAGUGAUCUUAUAAAAUGUUUCAUCAGCUAACAUCCAAACAAUACUUUUAAAGCACUUACAUGAAAUGUUUUCUCAUUAAAGAAACCAUUAUUGAGAGUCUUAUUAAAAUUUUGGUCAACUGAUGAAGAAACUGUUCGAGUUGUUGCAUUUUUAAUACAUUACGUAUUGCAACUAUUCAUAGGGUAUCUUGAAAUAUUAUUAAAGUCGAUCUUCUACGUCAAAAUUCUUCUACGUAGAAAAUUCCAAAUAUUUUGCAUUCUUUAACAGAAAUUUAUUUUGACUUUGCAUACGGUCAUUCCUCUUAUCAGACAGCUUGCUAUUUAUUUAAGGAAUGCAGCAACUUUCAGGGAGUAUAUAAUUGGAGGCAUAUGAAUUUAUUAUUUUUCUGAUCCAAGUCAAUAACACUCUCAAAAAAACAAUUAAUGUUACACUCUUUGUUAUAUCCUUUAGUACAGAUUAUUAUUGGAAGAAUUAAAGUAAUACCGAGUCGACAAUUUAUUUCUCCACUGUUUGCAAACGUUAUCUAACAUUUCUAAGGAAACAAAUAUUUUCACAUCUAUUUUAUCAUUUUCAUUUGGGAUAUUAUCAUCUUAUGAUUUUAAUGAAAAACUUAAGAAAAAUUUGAGAGCAGCAUUCCUAACCCCGAUGUCCGCAAUGAACAAUCUCCGAAAGGAAUAAAAGCACUUUCAUGUAGUAAUGACAUUAAAUUUGCUAACUCAGCCAAUUUUAUUCUCUUAUAUUUCCUUUCUCGGCAUGUUCACUAGUAAAUAACUUCGAUUAAAUGAUCAUAUAAUUUUUUUCUCU